rnacentral:SRP_RNA from 1 species
GCCAGGUGUGGUGGUGGGCACCUGUAAUCCCAGCUACUUGGGAGGCUGAGGCAGGAGAAUUGCUUGAACCCAGGAGGUGGAGGUUGCAGUGAGCCAAGAUCGCGCCACUGCACUCCAGCCUGGGUGACAGAGCAAGACUCUGUCUCAA